GUAGGUGGCAAGCGUUGUCCGGAAUUAUUGGGCGUAAAGCGCGCGCAGGCGGUCCUUUAAGUCUGAUGUGAAAGCCCACGGCUCAACCGUGGAGGGUCAUUGGAAACUGGGGGACUUGAGUACAGAAGAGGAAAGCGGAAUUCCAAGUGUAGCGGUGAAAUGCGUAGAGAUUUGGAGGAACACCAGUGGCGAAGGCGGCUUUCUGGUCUGUAACUGACGCUGAGGCGCGAAAGCGUGGGGAGUAAACAGGAUUAGAUACCCUGGUAGUCCACGCCGUAAACGAUGAGUGCUAAGUGUUAGGGGGUUUCCCGCCCCCUUAGUGCUGCAGCUAACGCAUUAAGCACUCCGCCUGGGGAGUACGGCCGCAAGGCUG
rnacentral:rRNA from 1 species